AUAAGAAAUCUUAGUCAUUGGCCAGCAGCAUUGUAAUUAAUAUAAGACUCUGUGUUAUUUCGGGUGCUCACGUGGCUGUGGGGCUCAGGCGGAUGGGGGAAAUGCUUAUUGUUACAUAAGCCCACCCCCUCUCCCCUGGGGACAGAGAGCUGUCUACCUUAAGACCUACAAAAAUUCACAUAGCAUCUAAUUUAUCACUUUAAGUAUUUUGAGUGUGAAUUUCAGAGGCUUUAAGCACAUGAACAUGGUAAUGACACCAUCACUCUCAUCCACACAGAGGGUAAUUUUGUCUUCCCAAACUGAACCAUCCUCUCUCCCCACCUCCUCUGGUACUACCUUACUUUCUGUGUCUUCACUGUGACUGCACUAAGUGUCUCAUGCACCUGGUUGUGGGAUAUUAAUCCUUUAAUCUUACUUCUAGUAACCAUUCUUGAUGUGCAGGCUCCUCCUCCUUUCCUUCCUCAUCUCCCUCUUCCUUGUCUGUCUCUCCUCUCCUCAAACCCACUUCACCACUUAAGGCUGAACACUAAGAUUUAAACUUUCUCCACCCCCUGAGAAUCUCUACCUAUGCUGGACUCAGAGAGUUCCAUGUUUGGCUUCCUCUGUGCUUAGCCCUGGGUACCCAUACAGUACUUGGAGCUACUUUCUUGAUUUAACCUCCUUUUAAUGAGAUAAUGUCUCAUCCUCCCAACUAGAUUGUGUCUUCCUGAUGAGCAGCUGGUGUGGUUCACUUUCCUUCCUCUCCUCUCCAGGUCAGCAGUCACUCCACCAACACUGCUUUGCUCUCCUUAUUAAAGGAAAGGGGCACACACCAGCUUUAUAUGCUCUCUUAUGUCUGGUUGUCUCUUGAGAUGAAAAUCUGGGUUCUACCUCCCUUCUUCCCUUCCUUCCUUCUUUUCCCCUUCCCUCCCUUCUUCCUCCCCCCUCUCUCUCAAAUGGAAAUGAAUGUCCCUAUUAAGCCUCUAUGUAUUCUUGAGGUCUUUUAAUACAUCACCUUAGUUUCUGACUUUCUAGGCUAGGCCCAGAUAAUGAGACAAAAGUAUUACAUUUUCACAGCUAACUCAUUUUUUUCUGAAUAUCUCUUCUCUCACAUAAAUAUCUAUUGUUUUUAGUAGUUAAACAUCAGCAAAUAUUUCCCAGCCUGGGAAGGAUUGUGUAAAAAGUCAUUGCUGAGUGCCCCAGCACCUCUGACAAGCCUGCUUUUAUUUAUUUAGUUUUCAAAGGAUCCUGUACUUGGUGGUUACUUAAAUAUCUGCUGAAACCCUGCUACCUUGAUAAUCUCCCCCUCGACACACAUACACAGAGGGAGAGACAGAAACAUACACACACACACACACACACACACACAGAGAGAGAGAGAGAGAGAGAGAGAGAGAGAGAGAGAGAGAGAGAGAGAGAGAGAGAGAGAGAGAGAAUAACCACUCUAUCCAAGGACUAGAAUUUUCUGUAUUCAAAAUCUUAGACUUUAAAUGAGCAAGCUGUGGCUUAGCCUCUCCAUGUCACCAAUUAAGUGACUAGUUAAAGGUUUGGCUGGUUUUGUAAUGAAGCUCUUGGGUGCUUAAUCCUGGGAACAUUAACUGAAGUGAACCUAGGAAUAGUGAUAAUAGGCAUAUCCUUCCUUAAUCUCUGGUGACAGAUGGGGGAUCCCAAAUACUUGAGAAAUGCAAGAAGAUGCCAGACUGUCUGCUGUGGCUGAAAUACCCAGGCUGCUUUUCUGAUCCAUUUGAAGACUCAUUUGGAGGAACUGAGACGUGUGUAGAACCUUCUCUGAGGGGUGACAAGUUGAGAACUGGAGGAUGAGAACACCAUGGAGCUUAGAAAAACAAAACCAAUUAUAACUUCAAACAAGAACUGGAAUCGAUGCUAACGAGGCAGAGAGAUCAAACAGCACAGGGGCACUUGGUAGAAAGAAGAAGCCUUCUCCACCUGCAAGUCUGAAUCAUUCUUGUUUUUUGUUUUUCAGUACAGGGUUUCUCUGUAGCUUUGGAGCCUUCCUGGAACUUUCUCUGUAGACCAGGCUGGCCUUGAACUCACAGAGGUCCACCUGCCUCUGCCUCCCAAGUGCCACCAUUGCCGGGCUGUAAACCAUUCUUUUCUUGCUUACAGACAGGAAACUGAAUCCCAGCAAGGCAAGGAGACUUUAAGUCCACAUGCCCCACCAGCAUCUCCUUCCCAGACUGGAGCACCAUCACCUCUCACCAUUGCUGAGCAGCAAGAAGAUAAAGCAAAGUCUAGUUUCUGCCCUGGCAAGCCCUCCAGCACUCUCCAGUGCAGCUUAUAGUGGCCAUUGUGCUGUCCACGUAGUUCAACCUUGCUUGUCUUCAUCCCAGACUUUGUUCUGUGUGAGCAUGGACAGAUUCAUUAACUUUAUUCAGUUUUGAAGUUGGAAUAAUGCCAACCUCAUAGAGGUCCAAGAAUGAGAAAAAAAAACCUGCUUAUUAUAAUUGAAAUGUCUCUGAAAAGAUGUGGCCACACUAAAUGAUUAUAAAAUGUUCAAUAACCUACAUAUGCUACAUAUAGUAUGUAAAAUUAUUAUCACUGAAUUGUAUUCCCAUUCUUAUCUAUCUGUUGAUACAUUUAUUCAAUAAAAUCUUAUUAUACAAUCAGCUUGAGCAAUCACUAUGUUGGCAUAUGGUUGCAAGCAGUCCAGAUAGUAUUUCUUAUAUUAGGCAGGUCUUCUUGAAAAACACAAACAAAAGAAUGUAUUUUUCUCUAGAAAGUUUCAAUGAAAGGAAUCAGAGAAAAUGGCCAAAUUUGCAGAUUGAAUUGUAAGUAUGAGAGAGCCCAGAAGACUGGGGUAACCGUCGGGAAGUCAGCAAGCUUCGAGUCAGCUGGGUUUGGUUUGAGAUGGAAAGAAGCCAGUGUCCUGGCCCAAAGGCAGUCAGAGAAGAAGAAUUUUCCUGUCCGAGGGAGGCAAGACUUUUCACUCCAAUCGAGUUGGCAGAUAAAGCUAAGCAUCACAUUCCUCAUGAAGCUUCCCAUCCGUUUAGGAGAAACCAUGAUUCACAUAUAAUCACAAAGCUUUCAAGGGGUCUGAGUCUAACAAAGCAAGCUGCCAGGUGUGAAGAUAAAGGUAGAACCAUGUGACCAUGAAACUGUGACAUUCAUAGACUUGAGGCCAGGAACCUCCAGGCAGUAGGGAGUGCAUAGACCUCAAGACCUAGGAGGUUCUGAGGAUCCGAAAGGGCUGUGUGGCUGAAACACAGAAAGGAGGGGGUUGUGUGUGAGACAUGAACAGACAGAGUGAGAACCUUGGGAAACACAUCGACUCUUUUGAGGAGGAGGCUCAGAAGUAUGGGGCCAGUACAGGAGGCUGAAGGGAUGUCCGUGUUAAAGAAAUGCAGUCUAUUUAAAACAUGGUAAGUCCAUUAGUAAUUUGAUCUCUCGGGUUGUGAGGGAUCUCAUACCAUUUUGUUUAAUAUUUGAACACAUAGACAGAUGUUAACUGAUUAUUGUGACUCUAUACUCUUCUAUAUGAACAUUUCUGCAUUGCAUCUGAUAAAUUUGUUUUUUUUAUAGCUGUACAAUAUUCCAUCAUGGUUCCCACCAUGGAAUCUCUGGUUCUCAUGUACCCUUCUGUACUUCUUGCUUCUUUGAGUUUUUCCUUAAAAACAGUACUGUGGAGAACAUAUUUUGAACUUGUUUUCUUAUGAGCUCUUCUCUGAAGUUACAUUCCCCUCAUGGGUCUCUUAUCUGCAGGUCAUGGCCUCCUCUGUUUCCAGUCUAUCGUGUCAUGCCCCACUCAUCUUGCCUGGGCUGAGGAAUUCCAAGAAUUCCUGUCAUUUCUAGGGCAUUAGAUACAGAGAGAAUGCAGCAAGAAGAGGACCAAGCUCAUGAGGAUAGAGAAUCCCUUCAGUCCCAGUGCACUCAUCCUUGGGAUGUGGCCUCUGCUACAGAUUAGUCCUGCACUUGGCAUCCUGUGUCCCUUAGCUGGGAAGACAGCUUAUUCUCCUUCAUUUUAUAGACUCCAUGAGCACCAGUUAGGGUUCCGGUAAGAAUGUGUUAGGAAGCUGCAACAGAGACAACUGCUCAUAAAGCACCAUGAAUGUAAUUAGCCAAAGUUAACAUAACAUCAUCUGCAACAGAUGCCAAACCCCCAGUUUGCCAAUAUUUUUAUUUCUUCCUUUAUGUGAUAUAUUCAUUCUAAAACUUUUGAUGUUGAGAAAUUGGCCAGGGACAGUUUCUUCAGGCCAAGCAGAAUCAGGAGAAUUCAUCCAGUCCUCUUUCUUGGCCUGAUCAUAGUUUGCCCACUCAGCUAAGCACAUACUGCUGAGAUGGACUAAGAAGCAAAUGAAGAAAACUGAAUAACUAUGUUGCUUGAUUUAGGCUAGGCAUGCAGUCAAUACUUGGCUCAUUGGAGAAGAAUUACAUUCCUGGUAUCAAACAGUAUCAUAUGGUCACAAUGUGGGGUCUUGAUAACUAAGAAUAAAUUCCAAAGGAUUUCCUCAGUGUAUCCAGAAAAAACCUACAAGACAAGAAUAGAACAUCAUAACCAUUUAAUCCUCUUCCCUGAAAGGGGCAUACCAGAGAAGAAAUAGACUCCAGUGAGACUCAUGUAGACUCUUAGCCAUUUGGGUCAGAAUGACCACCCAUGGCUAUCAGCAAUGUCUGCAUCUAAUAA
ensembl:lncRNA